GAAAACCAAUUAAAAUAUCUAACAUAUCCAUAAAUAACACAAUUCAGUCCUUCUGUUAGAUUACCAUUUCCACCAGUCUCCUCUCCUCCAUCCUUUUCAUUCUCUAUCCAACCUAUGAAGUUCAUCCUUGCUCUCAAUAUCUUGAGAUCUCCCAUUUCACCAUCACCAAGAGAUCUCUCAUUUCACUAUCGCUCAAAUUGCUACCACAGGUUAAUCACCAUCAUCACCCUCCUUAUCCUGGUCUCAUUUCACCCUCAUUUCACCAUGUCCUUCUUCUACAACUUCUUUCCUCUCCCUGUUCUUUUACAACUUCAUCCCCUCUCUAUUGUUCACGGUGUUUUUAUUAUUUGUUCUCUUCUAUUCCCAAUUCUCACUCUUAGCUCUAAUUGGUGAUGGGUUUAAAUAGAAACCCAUCAGAAAUUAGAAAGUUCAUUUUCAAUUUUUUCAAUGUA
rnacentral:lncRNA from 1 species